CGCAGACCGCCAUAUCAGGACGAUCCGCACAACAGAAAUUAACAGUCCUUGCACUCUGCAGCGGGGCCAGCUGGGAGGGACUUAUGAAUACAACGGAUCACAUCCAGAUCAUUAGUUACAGGUUUGAACCUGUAGAACACCGACUGAGACAUCUCUAGUAGUGCGGCAAACCACGGCUGGCACGGCCACCACGGGGGCCAGAAGUAUGCAUCUCGCCUGGUCCCGCAUUAUCCGCGCGACCACACAUCCCAUCAACGGCAGCGGUGGGAAAAGAUAUAACAGUCCCGUCUUCCAGAACCACAAACAAUGCGAAGAGAGACUGAGCAGGAUGGGCAAGCUGAUUCCGGCACAAAGAAUCCCAGCUUACAGCGUGGCAAAAUGUUAAACAGCUAUUUUGAGUAGCAUACUGCUCCUAAGAUGUACUGGCGUUUCAUGCAAAGGAAACUGUAAAAUGUGUUGCCUCUGUUCAGUUUAAGGUACGUGAUCUCAGCUUUAAGAGGACAAUUAUUCCUGUUUCUCAUGUUGCUUCUGAAGACAAAAUUCUCUGACACACAAUAUUUCCUUGGCAACCAAUUAUGAUGAAGAAAGCUAGGUUGGGGGGACUAAGUGACGGGAGUGGACUGACUCAUCCUUCACAUGCUUUGUUUGCAAACAAAUGUCUUAAGUAACAAAGACAGAAGGAAAGAAAUCACUUUCAUAUUGGUAUAUUCUUCCAUACAGUCUUGUUAAUGACAAAA